UGGGGAAUUUUGCACAAUGGAGGAAACUCUGAUGCAGCGACGCCGCGUGAGUGAUGAAGAUCUUCGGAUUGUAAAACUCUGUCCUUAGUGAAGAUAAUGACAGUAACUAAGAAGCAAGCCCUGGCUAAAUACGUGCCAGCAGCCGCGGUAAUACGUAUGGGGCAAGCGUUGUCCGGAAUUAUUGGGCGUAAAGGGUACGUAGGCGGUUUAAUAAGUCCUAAUUAAAAGGCUAUGGCUCAACCAUAGUAUGGUUAGGAAACUGUUGAACUGGAGUAGAUGAGGGGAAAGUGGAAUUCCAUGUGUAGCGGUGAAAUGCGUAGAUAUAUGGAGGAACACCAAUGGCGAAGGCAACUUUCUGGAAUCAAACUGACGCUGAGGUACGAAGGCGUGGGGAGCAAACAGG
rnacentral:rRNA from 1 species